rnacentral:rRNA from 1 species
ACGCUCGACACCUACGGGAGGCAGCAGUGGGGAAUAUUGCACAAUGGGGGAAACCCUGAUGCAGCGACGCCGCGUGAGCGAAGAAGUAUUUCGGUAUGUAAAGCUCUAUCAGCAGGGAAGAAGAAAGACGGUACCUGACUAAGAAGCCCCGGCUAACUACGUGCCGGCAGCAGCGGUAAUCUGAGCGGGCUGGCAAGGC